AGUGGGAUAGCUGGGUCAAAUGGUGCUUUCAUUCCAAUUUUACAAGGAAUCUCCAUACUGCUUUCCAUAUGGGCUGCACCAAUUUGCAGUCCCACCAGCAAU
rnacentral:pre_miRNA from 1 species